CCUACGGGUGGCAGCAGUGGGGAAUAUUGCACAAUGGGCGGAACCCUGAACCAGCGACGCAGCGUGUGUGAAGAAGUAUUUCCGUGUGGAAAGCUCUAUCAGCAGGGAAGAAAAUGACGUUACCUGAAUAAGUAGCCCCGGCGAACUACGUGCCAGCAGCCGCGGUAAGACGUAGGGGGCCAGCGUUAUCCGGAUUUACUGGGUGUAAAGGGAGCGUAGACGGCAGGACAAGUGUGCAGUGAAAUGGCGGGGCUUAACCCCGGAAUUGCGGCGGAAACUGUGCAGCUUGAGUGCAGGGGAGGCAGGUGGAAUUCGUAGUGUAGCGGUGAAAUGCGUAGAUAUGAGGAGGAACCCCAGUGGCGAAGGCAGCUUACUGGACUGUAACUGACGUUGAGGCUCGAAAGCGUGGGGAGCGAACAGGAUUAGAUACCCGGGUAGUC
rnacentral:rRNA from 1 species